CAGGCUUAACACAUGCAAGUCGAGGGGCAGCAUGGUCUUAGCUUGCUAAGGCCGAUGGCGACCGGCGCACGGGUGAGUAACACGUAUCCAACCUGCCGUCUACUCUUGGACAGCCUUCUGAAAGGAAGAUUAAUACAAGAUGGCAUCAUGAGUCCGCAUGUUCACAUGAUUAAAGGUAUUCCGGUAGACGAUGGGGAUGCGUUCCAUUAGAUAGUAGGCGGGGUAACGGCCCACCUAGUCUUCGAUGGAUAGGGGUUCUGAGAGGAAGGUCCCCCACAUUGGAACUGAGACACGGUCCAAACUCCUACGGGAGGCAGCAGUGAGGAAUAUUGGUCAAUGGGCGAGAGCCUGAACCAGCCAAGUAGCGUGAAGGAUGACUGCCCUAUGGGUUGUAAACUUCUUUUAUAAAGGAAUAAAGUCGGGUAUGGAUACCCGUUUGCAUGUACUUUAUGAAUAAGGAUCGGCUAACUCCGUGCCAGCAGCCGCGGUAAUACGGAGGAUCCGAGCGUUAUCCGGAUUUAUUGGGUUUAAAGGGAGCGUAGAUGGAUGUUUAAGUCAGUUGUGAAAGUUUGCGGCUCAACCGUAAAAUUGCAGUUGAUACUGGAUAUCUUGAGUGCAGUUGAGGCAGGCGGAAUUCGUGGUGUAGCGGUGAAAUGCUUAGAUAUCACGAAGAACUCCGAUUGCGAAGGCAGCCUGCUAAGCUGCAACUGACAUUGAGGCUCGAAAGUGUGGGUAUCAAACAGGAUUAGAUACCCUGGUAGUCCACACGGUAAACGAUGAAUACUCGCUGUUUGCGAUAUACUGCAAGCGGCCAAGCGAAAGCGUUAAGUAUUCCACCUGGGGAGUACGCCGGCAACGGUGAAACUCCAAGGAAUUGACGGGGGCCCGCACAAGCGGAGGAACAUGUGGUUUAAUUCGAUGAUACGCGAGGAACCUUACCCGGGCUUAAAUUGCAGAUGAAUUACGGUGAAAGCCGUAAGCCGCAAGGCAUCUGUGAAGGUGCUGCAUGGUUGUCGUCAGCUCGUGCCGUGAGGUGUCGGCUUAAGUGCCAUAACGAGCGCAACCCUUGUUGUCAGUUACUAACAGGUUCCGCUGAGGACUCUGACAAGACUGCCAUCGUAAGAUGUGAGGAAGGUGGGGAUGACGUCAAAUCAGCACGGCCCUUACGUCCGGGGCUACACACGUGUUACAAUGGGGGGUACAGAGGGCCGCUACCACGCGAGUGGAUGCCAAUCCCCAAAACCUCUCUCAGUUCGGACUGGAGUCUGCAACCCGACUCCACGAAGCUGGAUUCGCUAGUAAUCGCGCAUCAGCCACGGCGCGGUGAAUACGUUCCCGGGCCUUGUACACACCGCCCGUCAAGCCAUGGGAGCCGGGGGUACCUGAAGUGCGUAACCGCGAGGAGCGCCCUAGGGUAAAACUGGUGACUGGGGC
rnacentral:rRNA from 1 species